rnacentral:rRNA from 1 species
AUGCAAGCGAGAGUACUGCAUGCACGCGUGCAAGGAAAAAGCGAAGCGUUGCAUGCAUGCAGUAAUAACUGCGCGAAGCUCGUUGGCCGUCGCUCUGCCACAAUAUCUGCUGCUGCUGCAGCAGAUCCUGCCUUGGUCCGUGCGUUCCGGUCGGGGGACUUAAAAACCCGGACGGAGGUAGUAGCGUUCAAAAUUCAAAAUCUCGGAGCAGAGUCUUCUUCCUCCCCCACCCACGCGACCCGGAGCAAGGUAGCCAUGAGGAAGGCGCCCGCGGCGGCCGCCAAGCCCAAGCCUAGGGCGAGGACCAGGGCCAAGGCCAAGGCGAAGCCCAGCCCCGACUCCCUCUCCGCCGCCUCCUCCUCGCCGUCCGGCGCCAGCGACGGGUCUCCCGCUCCCUCUCCCGUCGCGCUCGGCCGCGGCCUCCUCUCCGCCUCCAAGCCCAAACCUAGGGCGAACGCGAGGGCGAGGGCCAAGCCCAAGGGGAAGCCCAGCCCCGACUCCCUCUCCGGCGCCUCCUCGCCGUCCGACGCCAGCGCCGGGUCCCCCUCCCCCUCCCCCGUCGCAGCCGGCCGCGGCGGCUUCCUCUCGCCCGCCUCGCUGGUGACGCCCAAGGCCAGAUCCCCCCUCACCGCGGCGGCCACGUCCACGCCGGCCUCCGUCGGCGACCUGAGGGGCCUCGCCGCCUCCAGCCUCGGCUCGCUCAACCGCCGCCUCGACGCGCUCCACGCCGACUCCGCCCGUGACCUCGAGGCCUCCUACUCCCGGAUCUCCAAGCGCAUCAAGAUGCAGACGCAGAGCUGCGUGCAGAUGGCGGAGGAGGCGGACAAGGAGCAUAAGAAGAUGCUCGACAGCUACUCCCACCAAGCCGACGACAUCAAGGCAUCGUACAAGAAGGUGAUGACAGAUGUGCAGUCGUCUUCGUCUCGUGUGUGCAAGGUGACCUUACCUGAGAUGGGAAAGUCCGUGGCCAGAGCAAUCGACGGCUUGCGCAGUCGCUACAACAUCCCAGCUACAACAGCUUAG